CAAACCGACACAGGUAGGCGAGGAGAGAAUCCUAAGGUGAUCGAGAGAACUCUCGUUAAAGAACUCGGCAAAAUGACCCCGUAACUUCGGGAGAAGGGGUGCUCUGUUAGGGUGCAAGCCCGAGAGAGCCGCAGUGAAUAGGCCCAGGCGACUGUUUAGCAAAAACACAGGUCUCUGCGAAGCCGUAAGGCGAAGUAUAGGGGCUGACGCCUGCCCGGUGCUGGAAGGUUAAGAGGAGCGCUUAGCGUAAGCGAAGGUGCGAAUUGAAGCCCCAGUAAACGGCGGCCGUAACAAUAACGGUCCUAAGGUAGCGAAAUUCCUUGUCGGGUAAGUUCCGACCCGCACGAAAGGCGCAACGAUCUGGGCACUGUCUCAACGAGAGACUCGGUGAAAUUAUAGUACCUGUGAAGAUGCAGGUUACCCGCGACAGGACGGAAAGACCCCGUGGAGCUUUACUGCAGCCUGAUAUUGAAUGUUGGUACAGCUUGUACAGGAUAGGUAGGAGCCUUGGAAACCGGAGCGCCAGCUUCGGUGGAGGCAUCGGUGGGAUACUACCCUGGCUGUAUUGACCUUCUAACCCGCCGCCCUUAUCGGGCGGGGAGACAGUGUCAGGUGGGCAGUUUGACUGGGGCGGUCGCCUCCUAAAAGGUAACGGAGGCGCCCAAAGGUUCCCUCAGAAUGGUUGGAAAUCAUUCGCAGAGUGUAAAGGCACAAGGGAGCUUGACUGCGAGACCUACAAGUCGAGCAGGGACGAAAGUCGGGCUUAGUGAUCCGGUGGUUCCGCAUGGAAGGGCCAUCGCUCAACGGAUAAAAGCUACCCCGGGGAUAACAGGCUUAUCUCCCCCAAGAGUCCACAUCGACGGGGAGGUUUGGCACCUCGAUGUCGGCUCAUCGCAUCCUGGGGCUGUAGUCGGUCCCAAGGGUUGGGCUGUUCGCCCAUUAAAGCGGUACGCGAGCUGAGUUCAGAACGUCGUGAGACAGUUCGGUCCCUAUCCGUCGCGGGCGCAGGAAAUUUGAGAGGAGCUGUCCUUAGUACGAGAGGACCGGGAUGGACGCACCGCUGGUGUACCAGUUGUUCUGCCAAGGGCAUCGCUGGGUAGCUAUGUGCGGACGGGAUAAGUGCUGAAAGCAUCUAAGCAUGAAGCCCCCCUCAAGAUGAGAUUUCCCAUUCCGCAAGGAAGUAAGAUCCCUGAAAGAUGAUCAGGUUGAUAGGUCUGAGGUGGAAGUGUGGCGACACAUGGAGCUGACAGAUACUAAUCGAUCGAGGACUUAACC
rnacentral:rRNA from 1 species